ensembl:misc_RNA
CGCUGAGUAGCUUCAAGAAAAUGGAAUCUAUAAGAAGUGACACCCUCCUCCAACAGAAAG